UGCGCCCGUAGCUCAACGGAUAGAGCAUCUGACUACGGAUCAGAAGGUUGGGGGUUCGAAUCCCUCCGGGCGCACCC
rnacentral:tRNA from 2 species